AUGGCCCUCAAGGUCUGCGUCACCCACACCCCAGCUCUCCCCGCUGGGUCUCACACUCGCUGGUCCCUCUGCCUGGGACCGUCUCCCUCCUGGUGUCAUCUCUCCGUGGUGCGUCCUUCCUGGCUCUGCACUGCACCAGGAACUGGUCACCGUUUUCACCUGGUAGGCUGGACGCUUCGUGGAGGGCUCCAAAGCUGGCCGAUCCUGGGCUUCCUCCGUUUCUCCCAGACCCCGCGUGUUGCAGUGAGAGGAGCAUUUGUGUCUCUGUGGUUUGCUGCUGAAGCUGAUGACCAGAGAGAAGCAAGGGAGACAAGCCUCUCCAGACAGGUGUGGGGCUCAGCCAGGAGGCAGGAGACACAGACCUGCCCCGGGCCAGGCAGGUCACAGAUGCACCACCAGGCACUCUGUGUGGCACUGGGCACAGGAAUUCUGGAAUUCAAUCUGCAAGGGUGGUAGGUGUUGGUGGUCCCCUGGGAGAAGCCUUUUGAGUGGGCGUUGAGCAGGCCGGUAUCUCAUGCCCUGAGGAGGUGCAUGGGCGGCAUAGGCUUUCCACAGAAAUUACGUGGGUAUGCAUGGGUGUGGCUCUGCGCUCACCUGGGGGAGGACUUCUGGCUGGUGCUGGGGCGCUCUGUGUGACCCUGGCAGAAUGGAGCUUCCCCUGACUGAAAGAGGAAGAAGAGCAUGCCAGCCGGGCGCGGUGGCUCAUGCCUGUAAUCCCAGCACUUUAGGAGGCCGAGGCGGGUGGAUCACGAGGUCAAGAGAUCAAGACCAUCCUGGUCAACAUGGUGAAACCCCGUCUCUACUAAAAACACAAAAAAUGAGCUGGGCAUGGUGGCGCGUGCCUGUAAUCCCAGCUACUCAGGAGGCUGAGGCAGGAGAAUUGCCUGAACCCAGGAGGCGGAGGUUGUGGUGAGCCGAGAUCUUGCCAUUGCACUCCAGCCUGGAUAACAAGAGCGAAAUUCCGUCUCUGGCACCCCACCCUGAACUACUCCACCUGGGGACUGCCUCUGGGGGUGGCGGGGUUCUGGCUGACUGCUGAGGCCCUGGGGGUGUGGGUGUGGGGCAUGGGACUUAGGAGGACUGGCCAGGUGGGGCCCACCACAUGCCCACCCCCAGUGUCAAGAGCUUCCCCUCUCCCUGUCCACCUCCUCCUCCUCUUCCUCAUGAUCAUCCUCACUUGUUGAGGACGUCCUGUGUGCCAUGUGGUUUAUAUGCCCAGCCUCAUUUACUCCUCAGAAUGACUCUAUUAGGUAGCUACUAAAACCCCCCACUUAACAGAUGAGGAAACUGAGGCCCAGAGAAGCUCAACCACUUGCCUAAGUUUCAAGUUUCCUCUCUCAAUUCUCCUACCCUCUCCUCUUUUUCUCCUCUCUCCCAUCCUUCCCUGCUUCUUCCUUAACUAGACAAUUUUUUCUUGAGCAUCUGCCAGGUGCUGGGAAGAUCAUGAUGACCCAGCUCCUUCUGAUCCUUUCCUUAACUGGUUAGAGGCCGGAGAACGUGCAAGUUCAGCUCCAGCUGACAAUGGGGCAUUGGUGGCAGCCCCAGGAGAACUUGUGCAGUUUGGCUGUGAGGCUGAAUCUGGCUGCAGGAAAGCAUGUUGCAGUCCGAGUGAUGUCUGGCCUGCUCACGGGCAUGGAGAGGGAGGCCCCUGUGCUGUCUUCUUGUAGACCCUAGACUGAUGGGGCCUCUGAAGCGCAUCCAGACACUGUGUGUGCUGCAUGCCCUCCCAACCAAUUCAUAUUUUUCUCCCCAUUUUCCAGUGAGAAAACAGAAUCUAAGGUUCCUGUUGGAACCCAGGAUCCACAGACCCUGGUUUUCCGUGACGUCAUGCUGCAGGGCACUGUACUCUCUUUGCUUUGGCUGCUGGGGAGCUCGGAAGGGAGCUUUAGGCUUGCUCUCAGUCACCAUAUUAGCUCAGGGGUUUGGGCAUUUUUGUUGCUGGCUCCUUUGGGCUCUUUCUCCUCCCUGCUGAGCUUCCCGGGGAGCAGGCCGGAUGUAAGUUAUCAACUAUAAAUAAAACCAAGACUUCCGUUCUGGCUCUCUCUGCAGUUUCCUGGUGCAUUUUUUUUUAAAGUUCUUAAUCAAGGGAGGGGGUACUGCUAACUGAAGAUGACAUCAGUAUCAGCUGGUCCUGGUGGGGCAGGCCCCCAGCCCCCAGCCCCCAGGCCCGCAUGGGCCCUGAAUGCCCCCAUUAUGAGGGGUAACCUCAUUACACAAGAUGCACUGCAUGGCGGAAUUUCAAAUGGGGUUUUGUGGUUUCUGCCCUUUGCAGCAGAGCACACACAGGCAGCUGCGGUCGCCCGGCUUCCUCUCCCGCCGCAGCCCUGGCGCCUGGCCAGCUGGUGACCACCCCUUCCACCAUGAGUCAGUUUCAUUCUUAACUCUCUGACUCAGGUCCCUUUAAAGGGACAGCAGAGUCCAUUCGUUCCAAAGCAAUGAGGGAGAGAGGAAGAACCUGCCUGGGUGGGGAGGUGGGGUCAAAAGGAAGCUUGGGGGGUCCCAGGCAGGUGGUUGGGUGAGCAGCCCUGCCUCACACCCCAGCCCCAGACACCCAGGACGAAGGGGGCUUUCCUGGCUCUUCCAAGGGAGACGGACUGCAACUUCCCCAAAGCUGACUGUCCGCAAGGCGGGAACCCCUGGCGUUCAGCGCCCUUCCUUACUGUCUGGUCACAAGCCUUGCCCAAGCUCUGGGCUCAGAAGGCCGGUGGGGGUUUUGCAAGCCACCCCCAGCGCCCCAUGUGCCCCGCCUCAUUCUCAUCUUUGGCCCCGUCAUUUCUUGUUCUUCUGUCACAGCGACCUCUGCAGUUUGCUGCUUCCCCGGGCCGCCCUCCCUCCCACCUGCGUGCACGUGACUCCACUCUUCGUGGUGGUCCGGUCUCCUCCUUCCGAGCCCAGCAGCACGCCACCUCCUCCCAGGAACACCCUGCCAGUCCGUCAUAGCCUGGUUACCUCCAUAGGAGCACGAGUAACAACCUCAGACGAACUAUUCAACUUGCUCCGUGUUGCUCCCCUCUGGCCCUACCUGAGGGGACCUGGGCAGCUCAGCAGAGGCCUGGCUGUUCCCCAGCCAUCUGUGGGUCCCACUGGUCUGUUCCCACAGCCCCACAGUCCUGCACUGAUUAUGCCGAGCUCCCCCAGGAUGGUGGCCCCAGCCUGGCAGCAAGUCACCUGCUGCCCUGUUAACAGCCGCCGGUGCGGACUGUCGGCUCCUUGAAGGCUGGGCCCUGCCUGCCUUGUUCAGGGCACAAGGCACCCCAUCCAGAUGGCACUGGAGGGGGCCAAGGCUGCAAGUGGGCAUCCCUGGGGCCGGGACUGCUGGGGAUCAGGCUGCAGCUCUCAUGCGAGGCCUCCAUGAAACAAGAAUUUCUCUCCCGGUUUCCUUCUCCCGUCUGAC
rnacentral:lncRNA from 1 species